rnacentral:rRNA from 1 species
UACGUAGGUGGCAAGCGUUGUCCGGAUUUACUGGGCGUAAAGAGCGCGCAGGCGGUCGUUCAAGUCGCGUGUGAAAGCCCCCGGCUCAACUGGGGAGGGUCACGCGAUACUGAUCGACUCGAAGGCAGGAGAGGGUAGUGGAAUUCCCGGUGUAGUGGUGAAAUGCGUAGAUAUCGGGAGGAACACCAGUGGCGAAGGCGGCUUCCUGGCCUGUUCUUGACGCUGAGGCGCGAAAGCUAGGGGGAGCAAACGGG